GUGGGGAAUAUUGGACAAUGGGCGAAAGCCUGAUCCAGCCAUGCCGAGUGUGUGAAGAAGGUCUUCGGAUUGUAAAGCACUUUAAGUUGGGAGGAAGGGCAGUAAGUUAAUACCUUGCUGUUUUGACGUUACCGACAGAAUAAGCACCGGCUAACUUCGUGCCAGCAGCCGCGGUAAUACGAAGGGUGCAAGCGUUAAUCGGACUUACUGGGCGUAACGCGCGCGUAGGUGGUUUUGUAAGUUGGAGGUGAAAUCCCCGGGCUCAACCUGGGAACUGCCUCAAAAACUGCAUGACUAGAGUACGGUAGAGGGUAGGGGAAUUUCCUGUGUAGCGGUGAAAUGCGUAGAUAUAGGAAGGAACACCAGUGGCGAAGGCGACUACCUGGACUGAUACUGACACUGAGGUGCGAAAGCGUGGGGAACAAACAGGAUUAGAAACCCCGGUAGUCC
rnacentral:rRNA from 1 species